rnacentral:tRNA from 1 species
AUAUAUAUAGUUUAAUAAAAACAUUACAUUUUCAUUGUAAAAAUAAAAUAAAUUAUUUUUAUAUAUA